GGGGAAUCUUGCGCAAUGGUCUAACGACUGACGCAGCGACGCCGCGUGUGGGAGGACGCCUUUCGGGGUGUAAACCACUGUUGCCCGGGACGAACACCUCUUUUCGAAGAGGCUGACGGUACCGGGGGAGGAAGCACCGGCUAACUCCGUGCCAGCAGCCGCGGUAAUACGGAGGGUGCGAGCGUUGUCCGGAAUCAUUGGGCGUAAAGGGCUCGUAGGCGGCCAACUAAGUCAUACGUGAAAUCCCUCGGCUUAACCGGGGAACUGCGUCUGAUACUGGAUGGCUUGAGUUCGGGAGAGGGAUGCGGAAUUCCAGGUGUAGCGGUGAAAUGCGUAGAUAUCUGGAGGAACACCGGUGGCGAAGGCGGCAUCCUGGACCGAUACUGACGCUGAGGAGCGAAAGCCAGGGGAGCAAAC
rnacentral:rRNA from 1 species